GACAGAGGUGCCAAGCGUUAGGCGGAAUCACUGGGCUUAAAGCGUGUGUAGGCGGAAUGGUAAGUACCUUGUGAAAGCCCAAGGCUCAGCCUUGGAAGUGCGCUCGAAACGGCGAGGCUGGGGUGCCGGAGGGGAGAGUGGAAUUCCCGGUGUAGCGGUGAAAUGCGUAGAGAUCGGGAGGAAUACCGGUGGCGAAAGCGACUCUCUGGACGGCAACUGACGCUGAGGCACGAAAGCGUGGGGAGCAAACAGG
rnacentral:rRNA from 1 species